rnacentral:lncRNA from 1 species
CGUCUCUUCUGGAAGCCCCCCUGCAGCAAUACUCCUGGGAGUGGAAAAGGAAGUGGUCAGAGGUAGGGGGAUCACAGCUCCCAUCUCCCCAGCUUCCCACCUGGCAGAGGGCGCUCUCUGCCUCCGCCCUCUCUUCCUCCCUCUGUGUCCGGAUGGCCUCGGUUUCUGCCUGCUGUUCCGUCAGCCUCAUUUCCAGCUCCAUUUUCUCCCUCUCUAGGCUCUCCAGAGCCUUUCCCAGUUCCUGCUGGUGCCGGGAGCGCUCUUUCUCCUGGUCGUGUGAAGGACUCACGGUUAGAACCCAGUGGGUAAGGACAGGAGGCAAAAGGAGGGCUGGAGCAGAGAAGGUCUCAGCUGGGUGUCCUUGGUACCUCUCUCAGCCUGUCUCCCCAUCGACAAAGUGAGGUUGCUAACUCUUGGCUUAUCUGUCUCACCAAAUUGUAUGAGAAUCAAAUAAGAGUUGUAAAAAAUCAAAUGAUAAAAUACACAAGAAAGCAUUUUCUAAAGUGCAAUUGUCCCUAACAUAGGCUACAGAUAAUGUUAUUUUCAAGCAACCACACCACUUAUCGUUGACGGUUGUAACAAUGAACUGAGGUGGCAGAUUGGUUCUCUGCUGUCCACUCUGCCCUGUCCAAGGUGGUAGAGUUAGCCUCCCAAAAAGUCAGGCUGAGCCUAGCUAGGAUGUCUCCUGCUAUACAAGGGCAUGAGGACAGGGCAUCCUGGUCCUCCUGGAGGUCAGCCAGUGACCAAAGCCUUCCCCAAUCCCCCAGACUAAGCCGGCACCCUCUCUUAGCUUCUCAGGAUAGUUGGUGAAGGGCUCUAGAGCCAGGCUGCCUGGGUUACAGUCUUUAUUUAAUCCAACACCACUAGUGAGUGACCUGGGUUAAUUUCAAUCUCAUCUCUUGUUACUCAGUUUCCUCAUCUAUAAAAAUGGGCAUAACAAUUUGGGUUGCUUUAAGGACUGAGAUAAGUCUUUAUCACCUUUUAUCACCUUACUUAACACCUUUUAUCAUUAGCAUUAAGAGAGAAGUUCCCUGCACCUUUCCUUUAAAAUAUUUACAAGCUCUCAAGGUGCCUGGCUGGCUCAAUUGGUAGAGCAUGCAACUCUCAAUCUCAGGGUCGUGAGUUCAAGCCCCACGUUGGGCAUGUAGCCUACUAAAAAUAAAUUAAUAAAAAUAUUUACAUAUUUUUGCUCGAAUUAUGCAUUCAUUUAAUGGGAAUGCCUCUAGGGUUUCACCCCUUUCCAAUAUCAUCUUGUACAGCUUCCCCCUCACUGGCCACACUGACCUCCUUUCAGGACCUUGAGCACACUACACACUCUCAUACCUUUAAGGCCUUUCUUUCCUCAUGCUUUCCUGCUCCUUAGAACACCCCUGCCUGCCUCCCACACCAUUGUUCCUCACAGCUUAACUAAUGCUUCCCCAGAGAGGCCUUCCCAGACCACACACUCGAAACAGUUCUGUUGCUCUUAUAACUUGCUGUUAUAAGUUGCUAUUGCUCUUGCUGUUGCCCCUUUGCUGUUGCUCUUAUAACACCCAGCUCUUAUUCUUCAUGGAUCUUCCAUAAUAACUUACACACUUACAUAUUAACUUGUUUAAUACUUGUCUUGUCCUUUGAGGUUUUAAGCUCCAUAAGGAGAACCACGUCUACUUUGCUCUCCACUGUCUCCUCAACACUCCCCACACAGUAAACACUCAACAUUGCACGAAUGAAUCACAUUUCAGCUGCUGGACUGUUAAGAUGCCUAAGAAUAGCAAUCCAUAAUGCCACAGUUAUCAAAUGGCUAUGAACAUCAAAUCAUUCCCUCUGAUUUAGAAAGCCAGCUGUGAAAAUAUGAGAAAGAUGAAUUUUAAUAGUAAUAAGUGUUUAAAAAAAAAAAACUGGCCUAUUCACUCAAUUUGAUUAGAAGUGUGUUAUAGCUACCAAAAGAGCCAAUUCCAUGAUGUCCAGGAAGUAACAGGCUAGGGUUGCCAGUUAGGUUGUGGAUCAGAAUAUUCUGCACAUUGGGUCAUGAGUAACGUGUAACAUGUCUAGAGGAAAGCAAGCAUGUUGGUGAGGUAUUUCAAGCAAACCUAAGAUGUGAUUUGUUUCAUGUAAGAGAUUUUGGCUUGACAUAAGGAAUAAUUUUUCAAUAACUAGAUCUACCUAGAAAUGAAUGGGCAGCCAUUGGUGGAAUACAACAGAAGCUAAGUGACCAUAUGAAAGGGAUACUGCAGGAAUGACCACAGCAUAAAUGGUUAAGAGAUGGUUAAUUCCUGUUCUACUGCUUAUUAGCCAUGUGACCUUGAGUGAUUUCUCUACAUCUCAAUUUCCUCACUAGCUAGUAGUAGGUAGGCUAUCUGAAAUAAUGUAAAUAGCAUUUAGCAAGGCAUGUGGCAUGGGGAAGUGGUUGAUGAGUGUCCACUAUCACUACAAUUAAAGGGGGUACAUGCACUAGGUGAAAGUAUGAAGACUAGAGCCUCUAAGAGUUUUUCCAAUUGUUAGGAUUCCAGGAGAAGGCAGUCAUAGUUAAAACUAACAGACUCUCAGGGGUGCCUGGCUGGCUCAGUUGGUAGAGCAUGUGACUCUUGAUCUCGGGGUUGUGAGUUCAACCCCCCACAUUAGGUGUAGAGCUUACAAUCAAUCAAUCAAUCAAUCAAUCAAUCAAACUAACAGACCCCCAAGAGUUAUGAGAGCAGUCAACCUUUUCAAUCAGUAGGGAGAUCAUAAAGUCAGAUGAUCAGAAUUCAGGGGCAUUGUCUGAAUGCGAGGAAAGGAAAAAAUGGAACACGCCCUCCCAUGACUCAGGUAUGGCCAUGAGAUGGUCAAUCCUUCCAGAGAAGCCUAGAUUAUGUCAGGUGGUUACUCAUUAUUUUGGAACUUUAUUGCAUCUUUCACUUGGAGGAUUUUCCCUGGGUGAUAUGCCUAAUUCUUGCUGGGGAAAGUGCCUUCUGGACACUGUUCAACAAAUAAUUAAAUUACUUACUUUAGGCAUAUAAUUUCAAAACAAGCAAACUUCUAGCUACCAUCUUGCCAACAAGUCUGCCUUGUAAUAACAGUCAAAUCACAAAUACACACAAGGCACAAAUCAACUUCUAUUUUCAGAGACCUGAAAAACAAGAUUUCUGAACCUUCCAGCUGUAAAAUGGCAAAAAAUACUGAUAAAAUAUUAAAUAUAUGUUGUGGGUUUUUUUUUCAAUGUUUAUUUAUUUAUUUUGAGAGAGAUAGAGACAGUGCAAACAGGGAAAGGGCAGAGAGAGAGGGACAGAGAAUCCCAAGCAGGCCUUGGCCAUCAGCACAGAACCCAGUGCAGGGCUUGAUCUCAGGAACCAUGGCAUCAUGACCUGAGUUGAAACUAAGAGUCAGACACUUAACUGACUGAGUCAUCCAGACGCCCCAGUGUACGUUUUAAUGUAUAAGUGAGCCAGCAGGAAAAUAAUGAAAAUUUCACAGGAGUCAAAAUCAAAGCAAGACUUGUGCUUUGUAAAUGGUAAAUGAGUACAGACUGGCUUUCCACUGGAGGUAUCUGCUAAACCUAAUAACUCUGAAAUUCAUUUUAAUGCUACGUGGGAAAAAGAAAACAGAAGACAGGGGUGGGGAGUCCAAUAGAAGAUUCCCACAUAAAACUGGACCUCCAACAGGCUAAUCAGGGGUCAAUAAACGAUGGCACAUGAGCAAAAUCUGGCCAGCCUCCUGUUGCUGUAUGGCCUGUGAACUAACAGUGGUUUUAAUACUUUUAAUGGUUGAAAAGGAGCAAAAAAAAAAAGAGAGAGAGAGAGAGAUUUUUGUGACAUGUGAAAAUUAUGUGAAAUUAAAAUUUCAGUGUCCACACUUAAAGUUUUAUUUGAACAUAGACAUGCUCAUUUGUUUACAUGGUAUCUCUGGCUACUUUUGUACUACAAUAGCAGAGGUGAAUAAUUACGACAGAGACCAUAAGGUCCACAAAACCUAAUAUGUGGCCCUUUACAAAAAAACCUUGCCUAUCCCUGGGCUAUAGUACCCUCAGUAGAAGGAUAAACUUGAGAGAAAGAAGAAGGAAAGAGAGAAAUGGGGAAGAGAAAGGGACAGAAAGUAGGGGGAGAGAAAACAAAACAAAAAAAAUCCCACAGAAGGAAAUAGCAAGAACAUUUAUUUGCUUCAACUUUUACACAGGAUUAAAAAAAAAAAACUCUCCAUUGAGAAGUCAACCACAACCUGGUCUUCAUGUGGGCAUAGGGCUUGAAUGUGACCCCAAAUACUUUCAACAUAAAUUUUAUUUCACUUCAUUUUAAAAUUUUAUUUUGAGAUGGUUCUGGGAUGAUAGAACCUUUAAUCCAACACUAUUAGUACAAGUGACCUCAGUUAAUUUCUACCAUAUUUCUGUGCCUCAGUUUCCUCAUCUAUAAAAAUGGGGAUAACAACAGUGUCCUCCUCUUCUGCUAGGAAAUUCCUAACAGAAGCAGAAGCAAAUUCUCUGAAGAAAAACUCUUCCGCCUUAGGCCAAAAGGAUUCCCACAGAAAAUUUUCUAAAGAAUGUGAGCUCAGAGUCAAGAAUCAUAAAACACAGGAGUGAGAACCAAUGGAAAAAACAUGUAACAGAGUCAGGCUCGAAAAGAUUUUAUUUUUAUUUUAUUUUUAAUUUUUUUUAAUUAAUUUAUUUUAUUUAAUUUUGAGAGAGAGAGAGCAAGUGCAUGAGCAGGGGAGGAGCAGAGAGAGAGAGAAUCCCAAGAAGACUCCGCACUAUCAGUGCAGAACUUGAUGUGGAGCUUGAUCCCACUAACCAUGAAAUCAUGACCUGAGCUGAAAUCAGGAGUUGGGUGCUUAACCGAAUGAGUCACUCAGGAGCCCCUGCCCGAAAUGACUUUAGUUAUUGGUGUUAUUAAAUAGCAUAAAAAUAUGUUUCAUGUGUUUAAAGAAUAAAAGAGAGGAUGAAAAUAUAAAUUAAGGAAAGAAACUAAAAUAUGACCAAGAAGAUUUGAAAAAAAAAAAAACUGAAUAGAAUGUCUAGAAAUAAAAAAAUUUAGGGGCGCCUGGGUGGCUCAGUCAGUUGAGCGUCUGACUUCAGCCAGGUCACGAUCUCGCGGUCCGUGAGUUCGAGCCCCACGUCGGGCUCUGGGCUGAUGGCUCGGAGCCUGGAGCCUGUUUCCGAUUCUGUGUCUCCCUCUCUCUCUGCCCCUCCCCCGCUCAUGCUCUGUCUCUCUCUGUCCCAAAAAUAAAUAAACUUUGAAAAAAAAAAUUUAAUAAGUGAAAUAUAAAACUUGGUGAAUAGACUACAUAGCAGAUUAGACACAGCUGAAAGGGAGUUAGUGAGUAGAAGACAGAUCUGAAAAAUCAUCUACAAUACAGUAUAGAAAAAGAAAAAUGAAUGUAGAAAAUGUAAUAGUCAAGAUACAUGGAAAAUACAGUAAGAAGGUCUGACAAACAACUAAUCAGGGUCUUCUUGACACAAACAAUAGAAUAAUGCAUAUGCUGAGAGAAAAUAACUAUCAUCCUAGAAUUUUAUACCCAAUGAAACUAUCUUUCAAGAAUAAAAGUAAAAUAGAAAUAUUUUCAGACAAUUAAUUACCAACAGACCCUCACCAAAGAAAUUCUAUUUCAAGGAGGAAAAUAAAUCCAAAUAGAAUGUCUGAUAUGCAAGAAGGGAUGAUGAGUGAAAAUCAUUUGUAAUUUUUUCAGUGUAUCUAAACAAAUGUUCAUGGUUGAAAACAAGUCAAAAUAAUUUGUGGUGUUAACAAACUAGUUAAAACAAAACACAUUGAAUAAAACAGUACAUAGGUCAGGAGGAGUGAAUGCAGGCCUUGUGUCAUUCAGGAAAAUGGUAAACAUACUGAUUAACUUAUGAUUUUAUUAAGUAUGUAUUUUUAAAAAUUUUUUAAUGUUUUUGUUUUUUAAUUUAUUUUUGACAAAGAGAGAGAGCAUGAGCAGGGGAGAGGCAGAGAGAGAGACAGAAACACAGAAUCUGAAGCAGGCUCCAGGCUCUGAGCUGUCAGUACAGAGCCCGAUGUGGGGCUUGAAUUCGUGAACCGCAAGAUUAUGACCUGAGCCGAAGUCAGCUGCUUAACCCACUGACCCACCCAGGCGCCCCUAUUAAGUAUGUAUUUUUAAAUAUUAAAGGAAACAACUAAAAUUUUUUUAAAAAUAGAGAACAGACCACCCAAAGUAGUAGAGAGAGAAAAAGAACCCAGAAAAGAAUACAACUUAAUCAUCCAAUUGAACUCCCUAAAAGAAGUUAAGAAAGGUGACCUCCCUGCCCCAAAAGAUAUAAAAAGGCAGGAAAAAUAGCAUCAGAUAGUAGAAAUAAAUCCAAAUAUACCUAUAGUCACAAUAAAAGCAAAUAGACUAAGUUAUAUAAUUAAAAGAUAAAAGAAAUACAGUUCUGAAUUAGACAAGAAGGGGUCCAAGGCAUUCCUCUGCUCCCUUUACAUCCUGGGGCCAGUAUAACAAUCCUAAAUCCCAGGAUCCAUGUUUAAUUCUCUGUACAUACUCAAACAACAACAAUAAUAGUUAACACAAAUAUAGAGCUUACUACAUACAUGUCAGGAAUUGUUCUUAGUGUUUUUCAUAUAUUGCUCAAUUACUAGCUAGAAGUUGGAUUUUACACCAUGGGACCAGGCUAGUCCUGCUCAGAUUUCACUCUUAUAAGCAGCAAUAUCUGUCCCAAGAGUCAAUGGGUGGAGCACUCACUGAAGGGAGGCCACAUCUGCCUCUCCUGUCCCCAGCCACAUCCAUGACCUACCCAUUUCUCCUGGAGCUGGUUCACCUCCUCCUCAUGGGCUGACUUCUGCUGCUGCAGGGCAGUGUGCCCCUCUUGCUCAGCCUGGGCCAGCUGUCUGGCUGCGUUCUCCCGCUCCUGCUCUGCCCGGCUCCGUUCAGUGUCCAGUUCCAGCUUCAGGCACCUCACUUCCCCUAAGAUGCCAGGGACAGGUAUCUCUCGCUGGGCCUCUGCCCUCUUCCCCUCUCCCUUCUCCCCAGAUCUCAUAAACAACUUCCGUCCGAGAAGCCCUGAGCCUGGCUGGAGGAGGACCUCUGAGCUUCCCAUUUGCUUCCAGGCUUUCAAGAUCUCCAUGGAAUGAAGAGUCCCCAUCCCAGUUGCGGGGACUGGGGGGGGGGGGAGGAGAGGAGGGGUCUCACCUUGAAUUACUUCCUUGGCUCGAGUGACAGUUUGAAUCUGGACCUCCAGCUGUCCCUUGGUGACCUCUAUCAGAGAAUUUUGUUGUUGGGCCUCGAACAGAUUGCUCUCCAGUUGCUCCUUGGCUGAGCUGUCAGGUUCAGGAAUAAGGAAGAGUUCUUACCCAUCCAGCCCCUUAACCUUCCUUAAGAGGAGUUGGAUUCUAAGUACUGACUACCCAGAGAAAUUAGGCGGCAAUUACAAAUUCAUAACUCAUUUAGGACCCGUUUACUUUGGGCAGGGAGCUUAGGUUGGCUACUCCUUGCCUUGCAGAACUCUCUCUGUCCUUGGCUGAACUGCGUGUGGGCCCUACCUGAGCCCUAGUAGUUGUUCAGAGAGGUCCUGCCGGUCUCGCUCCACAGCCUGCAGCCGCACCUCUAGGCUUGCUCUCUCCCGUACUAGGGCCUCCUUCUCCUGCACUUCCCGAGCAAGCACUUCGUCCUGUCGCUUCAUCUCCUGAUGCAGCUGCUCCAGCUGAGCGAAGGCUGCCUCCUGCUGAUGGUGAGCCUGAGAGGGAGAAAUCCGGGAGAUUACAGGGCAGAGGCAGGAUCCCCCGGGGCUGCUAUCACCAGAUUGGGGCAUUGGCCCUUCAGAGACUCUGGACCCAGCUCUGUGAGUCCUGAGCAUUGCCCACUCAUAUAAGUGGCAUUUAUCUACUUCCCUCAUCAACCUGUAGAACUCCGAGCCCAGGAAGCAUGUUCUCCUUUGUGCAAGACCCGGGGUUAGGGCUGCAAGAGAACUACCUCUAAGGAGCUUUUAGUCUUUAGAAUUAAAACAUGUAUAUCAUCAGGAAGAAAGCAAUCAGUCUCUGAGAAAGGGAUUCUGGGAAGGAAAAUUUGUAUCAUUUUAGGGCAGUGAGAAGUUUGGUAGAGGCAAAAGAUGAUCUUUGAGCUGUGUCAUUGGUUCAGAAAAAAUUUACUGAGCCGCUGCUAUGUGCUGGACAUUGUGCUAAAAGAUGGAGGAAUAAAAACAACUAAGACACAGCCUUGCCUUCAAGGAGCUUUUGGUCUAAUGCUGGAGACUGUAAACAGAUAAUUAUAAUACAGUGAGAAGGCUGUGGCGGCUGGAACAUGCAGGAGGUACUGUUAGAGCAUCCAGGAAAAGGCAUCUAAUUCAAACUGGAAAGUGUGAAGUAGUAAGGAAUCUGAAGGAUUCUUAUGGGAAUUGUUCAAAAAAAAAAUCUUUUUUAACGUUUACUUAUUAUUGAGAGACAAAGAGACACAGAGUGUGAGCAGGGGAGGGGCAGAGAGAGGGAAGACACAGAAUCUGAAGUAGGUUCCAGGCUCUGAGCUGUCAGCACAGAGCCUGACACGGGGCUUGAACUCACGAACUGUGAGAUCACUAUCUGAGCCGAAGUCAGUCGCCUAACCAACUGAGCCACCCAGGCGCCCCUGGGAAUUGUUUUAAAAAAAGGGAAGAUAUGGGGCGCCUGGGUGGCUCAGUCUGUUAAGUUUCCGACUUCGGCUCAGGUCAUGAUCUCGCAGUCCAUGAGUUUGAGCCCCGCAUCGGGCUCUGUGCUGACAGCUCAGAGCCUGGAGCAUGUUUCAGAUUCUGUGUCUCCCUCUCUCUCUCUCACCCUCCCCAGUUCAUGCUCUGUCUCCCUCUGUCUCAAAAAUAAUAAAAAUAAAAGGUUAAAAAAAAAAAAAGGGAAGAUGUACCUGAAACCAGUAACACUGGUCACUUUUAGGAAGUAAGACCUUUUCACUUCCUGAAUCAUUUCUGUUGAGUUUUCAUUUUCUACAUUGAGUACGUGUGGUAUCUUAAUGGGAUGUAUCAGUUUUGUGUUCUCACCUCGCUUAAUUUCUCUUGAAUUUCUUCUUUCUCUUCCUGGAUGCCCCUGAGAUCUGCCUGCAGCUCAGCCCCAGUCUCCUCUGCUUUCUGCAGCUGAACCUCCAGGUGAGUGUUCUUCUCCUGCAGGGAGUCCCUACUCCUCUCGGCUUCUGCCAGGCCCAACUGCAAAGUGCUUCUUGCCUGCUCAGCUGCUUCCAUUCUGCUGCACAUAGAUUGGUUCUCCUGUUCCAACUACUGGUCAAAAGGGGAAAGGCAUCAAAGACAAAUGGUUACAGUUUAUAGACCAAGUGCUAAGACGGAAGUCCAAGUAAGACAUGAAUCUAUGACUCAUAGGAGAAACACAGGAGGGCUUGUAAGAGAGGGGGACUAUGCAUUCAUUUGGUCUGGUGCCUGUUUUCCAGGUACUAGAUGGGUUGAUGCUGGGGAUGGAGAUUAAAAAGGCAAAACCCCACUCUUAAAGAAUUCAGAAUAAAGGGAAUCUGGAACAUUUCUAGGGCUCAAGGGAAUAGGAGCAGUGAAGAGACAUGUUAACUUUGCAACCUAUAAGAAACACACUCUUUGAGAUGUAGGCUCUUUAGCAGAUCCUUUUCUCGAGAUUGCUAUUAUCUCACACAAUGGGAUUAAAAACUGAGUCUUCCUUCCAGAGGACACAGGCCUCCUUCCCAGCCCUGGAGAUUUUACCCUCCAGCCCAAAGGUGGUUCUGCUGUAGGUGUGGGAGCAGACUAUUUUUAACGGCUAAGCCCAGGCCUUAUAGUCUUUGCUGCCCUCUGUUCCGUCAAUGUUCCUUUUGCUCAUUUUAGGACCACAUUUGGGAACUGAUCCAUCUUGCACUGAUCCAUUAAGGACUCUUCCCUGUCAUGGGCAUGAGCUUUACCAGUCACUGGCUUGCCUUCUGUCAGGGCCCAGCCCUUACUCUGUGGAUCAGAGAAAUCUGUGCUCACCUGGAGAAGCUGCUGGUUCAGUCCAACUUUAUCUAAGGCCAAAGCCUCAUUUAAGGCACUGAGCUUUGCAGCUACAGCCCGAAGGUCGGCGACCUCUGCCUUCAGGCUGUUCUCAGAACUAGACAGCUCCGCAACACACCGUUCUGCCUAAAAACAAAGAGAGUUAAAGGGUUUCCGUGUUCACGUUUUCCCACCACGGUGAACAGCUCACAUCCCCAACA